GUGAUGGUGAUGUUGAUGGUGGUGAUGGUGAUGAUGGUGAUGGUGGUGAUGACGGUGAUGAUGUGAUAGUGAUGAUGGUGAUGAUGGUGAUGGUGAUGAUAGUGAUGAUGGUGAUGAUAGUGAUGGUGAUGAUGUGAUGGUGAUGAUGGUGAUGGUGAUGAUAGUGGUGAUGGUGAUGAUGUGAUAGUGAUGAUGGUGAUGAUGGUGAUGAUGUUUUGUGGGAGCUGAGUUAGUGCUUCCAUUGCAGAAGGCAGGCUGCU
rnacentral:lncRNA from 10 species